UGCGGAGGUGGCUGAUGCUCGUUUUAGAUGCUUGGUUGCUAAGAGAUUGGGGUUUUCUCGCGUGUGGCUGGAGGGUGAUGCUCUGUCAGUCAUCAAUACUAUCAAUGAUACUUCUUGCGGCCGGUCUCCUUUAUGGCUGCUAUAUGAUGAUUUGCGUUCUUUAGUUAAAUCUUUCAAUGCUUAUAAGUUCACACAUGUAAAAAAAGGUAAUGUAGUAGCUUAGCAUGUAGCCCGGUGGGAAACUAAUAGUUGUUCCGAAAGAAUUUGUAUGAGCUCGUUUAUCUUUUAACCUUGACUGAACUCGAUUUUAAUUUUUUUUUUUUUUUUUUUGAUAAAGACUUUAUUUGAUUAAUCUGUAGCAUAUGUGCAUAACUUAUUUAACAUUCCAGCAUAUAUUCAAAGCCAAUUCAAAUCAAAUCAAAAACUAUUGAAGCAUGGACAACAAACCAAACCCCAAUUCAAUACGAGUCCUAAUUCGUCCACCUCCAACUCCACAACCUUCAUCUUCAUCACCAUCUCCCUCCUCUCCUUCUCCGCCGCCACCUCCGCCGCCUCGUCCGCCUCUCUCCUCCGCAACUCCCGCCCAACCUCCGCCGCCGCAACUCCCCUCCGGCGUCGUCGUCGUCGGCUUCAUCGCCCGACGCAACUCCGACGUUUCUCAGCUCAUCAAUCGAAUCCUCGACUCCAAUGUCUUCGGCUCCGGUCGCUGCGAUACUCCCCUUAGCAUCGCUUCAGAUGACAAUGAGGAGGUUACUGAAGAGGUUAAGCUUUGGUUUAGUAAUCGUAGGAUUAGUUAUUACCAUGAUAAGCAGAAGAAUUUGCUGUUUCUUCAAAUGUGUUCGAUCAAAUGUCCUGCUAUGUGUUCCGGUUCCGGUUUCGAUUCCAUCGUUGAAGAACAAGAGUUUGGGGAUAUUCAAGGAAUGCUCUUCAUGUUCACUGUGUGCCAUGUAAUUGUUUACAUCCAAGAGGGAUCACGAUUUGACACUCAUCUUUUGAAAAAUUUACGAGUGCUGCAGUCUGCAAAACAUGCUUUGAUGCCUUUUUUAAAAUCACAUAGUAUAUUGCCCUCAAUUACUAGGCCUUCAUCAUCAUCUUCUCGUCCUCCUACCCCAGCAACAUCCUCUAAAAGUCCUUCCCCACGAAGAGGUACUGGCAUCUCAAAUCGAAACAGUUCUAUAUCUGUCAUGUCAACUUUAGGUUCAUAUACUGCACUAUUUCCUGGGCAGUGUACUCCUGUUACGCUCUUUGCUUUUGUUGAUGAUUUCUCAGAAAUGGUGAAUUCCAGUGCUGCGGCUGAGGAGUCAAAUGAAUCUUCCUCUAACCAGUCAGGUUUGAGUAGCUUGGCUAGAUCAGAUUUGCCAGGGAAGGGUUCUAGUUCAGUUGUUGUGCUCUCUCGCCCAAUAAAUAAAACUGAAGGUAGUUUACUUAAGAAAUUGCAAUCCUCCACUGAAACUCAAAUUCGAUUUUUGAUAAAAAAAUGCCGGACUCUUACGGGGUCUGAAAGUAGUAGUCAUGUAGGGUCCAGAAGUGGUUCAAUAACUGGUUUAGCUCCAUUAUUAACCCUUGAUGCAUCAAGAGCUGUUGUGCUUUUAGACAGCUCUGGAAUCUUGAGGGGCGAGUCUCUUGAAUUCGCCACAGGCCUUGUAGAAGAUAUUCUGAGUGGAAAGGCAACUCCUGAUGUUUUGUUGCUUGAAAGUCACAGUGAGAGUGGAAAUAAGGAUGACAUCAUGACUUUAAAGGAGUUUAUUAUUAGGCAGGCUGACAUAUUAAGAGGAAAAGGGGGGAUGGUUACAAAUGCAAACAGUGGUUCAGCAGCAGGUGUUGGUAUGGUUGCUGUUGCAGCUGCAGCAGCAGCUGCAGCAUCUGCUUCUUCUGGAAGAGCAACUAGUGUUCCCGAGCUUCCCAGUUUAGAAAUGUGGUUGUCUUCCAGCCAACUAAUUUUAAAGGGAAUUUUGUCUGCAAAACCCGGUUCUGUUGAUGAAACUGAUAUAAAUAGAAGGAAACUCCGGCAACGUAAUGGUGUCCCUCCUCUUGUUGAAGGGAUCGCUUCUAAAGGUGCUGAUCCACCUAGCACUGCACUUUCUCUAUUGGAGAGUGGGAAGGGGAUCAAUAGAAAAUUUUCGGCUUUAUGGUGCCAAAAAGCCCUACCAGCUGCUAUGGAAGUCUAUUUAAAAGACUUGCCUCCCUGUUACCCAACAUCACAGCAUGAAACUCAAUUAAAAAAGGCUCUAUAUGCUUUUCACUCAAUGGUAAAGGGUCCUUCUGUGAAGGAAUUUAAAAAAAAAUUGGAGGAUGGAUGUGUGUCAAUCUGGAAGUCUGGAAGGCAACUAUGUGAUGCUAUUAGUUUAACUGGAAAACCGUGCAUGCACCAGAGACACGAAGUCAAAGAUGAUGGACUAUCUUCAGAUGCCACAAGCAAGGAACAUAAGAGUGGAUAUGUAUUUCUUCAUGCUUGUGCUUGUGGCCGUUCUCGACAAUUAAGAGCCGACCCUUUUGAUUUUGAAUCUGCUAAUAUCAAAUUUAAUAUAUUUUCUGAGUGUGACAAGCUUCUUCCUAUGCUGCAACUGCCAAAAUUGAGUGACAAAUGGCCUAUUCAGCCUUCAUCAUGGACUGUGGUUCGGCUUGGAGGGGCACAGUACUAUGAUUCUUCAAAAGGUUUGCUUCAAGCUGGAUUUCCGCAUGAUCAAAAGUUCCUUUUGAAAUGGACUAUUGUUCUUCAGAAUGAGAAGCACUCAAAUGUUUCCUUUGCUAAUGCUCUGAGGCAAGGGUCCUUCCGCAGUAAGCCAGACAUUAAACUUGAAUCAACUGCAGUCAAGGAUGCCAAGAAGAGCACAACAUUGCCGGUGGAGCCAGGUGAAGAACUGAAUGGAAUGGAAGGCCACGGAAAAGUUAUGAACGAUUCAAUACCUGACCGUAGAAAGAUCAGUUUUGGUAGAGGUCUUCCAAUUACCACAAUGAAGAAAGCUUUUUCUGAGGUUGUUGCUGGAUCAACAACUUCUAAUUCUGCAUUUCCUCCUUUACAGCCAAAGGCACAGCUGGCAUCUGGUCCAGGAAAAGGUGUUAAAAAAAUUGCUGUAAGAGUCGCAAGCACAGAGCAAAGUCACCUUUCUACUACUGAUGCUCAAAGAUCUGAAAAAUCUGAAGAGGUCUCUACUGCAGGAGCAGAGAACAAAUCUGGGUUGAACAAUGUUGGUCAUGUUGAUAGUAAUCCUUUCUUGCAUAUAGGUAGCAAUGUAAUUCCGUUAAAUGUUGAUGAUGGUAAAAAUGCUUCUGAGAAUAAUAAUGCUAAUGGGGGAAAGACUAUGUUUGAUCCUUCUGUUAGGCAUUUUGUAGUUUAUGUUGGUUUUGAGCAUGAAUGCCCGCGUGGCCACCGCUUUAUAUUAUCUUCAGAAAUUUUGAAUCAACUUGGGCAGCCAUACUCGUUGCCUGAAGGAUCUCAGGUUACUCGUCCUGUGGAACAUGUUAAUCGUAAGAAUAGGGGUCCCUUGAAAUUGGGGAAGAGUGAUCUUCAUGGUAAAGUGCAUCGGUUGCCAAGCGGUAAUGCUACAACACACAAAGUUAGCAAUUUGGAUAAAGCAAAUGAAGCUGUGGUUGACAGCAAUCUUGCUGUGAAUGGAAUAUCAUUGUCUAAACCAGUGGAACAUACACUUUUUGAUUCAUCAAUUCCACCUAAUUCUGUCACAGAUCAACAGAGUCACCAUUCUCUAAAUGUGGAGAAUAUUGGGCCUGCAUUUUCAUUGCUAAACAGAAAUUUACCACUAUACCUAAAUUGCCCGCAUUGCAGGGCAUCAAAGAAUAAGAAGGAUGGGCAAAAUUUGAAGUUUGCAGGCACAAUAUCUCAGUUACAAAGGAUUUUUGUGGUUACACCUCCUUUUCCUGUUGUAUUAGCAACCAACCCUGUUGUACAGUUUGAGGAGCCCCAUCAACUGGAAGGUGUUUCAAGUCACGAACAGCAGCUACAAUUCAGCCUUGGAUGUCAAGUUAUAUUGCCUCCAGAGAGUUUUGUCUCGAUCAGACUCCCCUUUGUCUAUGGCUUGGAGGUCAAAGAUAAGGGAUUAAUUCCUCUUAAUCCAUUUGAACACCAACCUGAGUUGACUGCCCGAAUCAUGCAAGGCACAGCACUGCAGGCCAUUUGGAAAGGAGGAAGUCCUGACUAGUAGCUUUGCAAAUACAUUUGAUUAUCUUGGGAAAAGCCAUUGACCUGACUAAAUCAGGAUUCAGGAGCACACAAGGCUGAAGCUGUCACCAAACUCGUGUCUGUCCUACCAAGGGCACAUUCAAGCUUGUUUGAGUUUCUUGGUUUUUAAGAGGCAAUUGAAGACCAUAGGUUGUUGGUAAAACAGUUACUUGAUUGAUUACAUCACAAGUCUCCUCAUUUUGGCGGUGUUUAGUUGGUUGGUACUUAAAUACUUGUGGCCUAAUGUGUUGGAACCUCAGGGGCUAGCAUUUGCUUGCAUAUUGCUGAAGUAGGAGAAAAUUGGGAUACUGGUUAUUGUUUAGAAGUAUCUGAUCAGUUUGAUGGUUGGAGGAUUGCAGUAGUUAAUACAGCGAUCCACCUAGACUACGCGAAGCGCUCUGAUAUCGAGAUGCCUACUCUACCAACUUGCAAGUGAAGCGGAGCAGGGAGUAUAGCUUUAAGGUUUCGUCUGGAUAUUGGCCCUCAUCUACAACAAAUCUGAUCACCCUGUAACAUAUUACAGAGAACACUUAAUAAAAAUGCUAAUACUGCUUGGGGUAUCACCGUAUCAUAAUGUGCACCACUCUGUUUAUAUUGUCUGCAGAACCCACAGCAAAAUUCCUGUAAGUAACUGUAUUCCAUGCCGCUAUUCUGUUUUUCUAAUGAGGAGCAACUUUAGUAAGGCAUAACUAUUUUUUUUUUGUCUGCAUUUUGUUCAUAUUAUUCUAUUAUGCAACCCGCUCCAUCUGUGUACUCUUUCCAUUUUUGCACACCUAUACAAUAAUAGUUGCAAAAUUGGAGCUGCCAUCUUGAAUUCCUCACCUGUCAGAGUCGUCUGGUCGAGACCAUCUAGAUGGAAAUUAAAAAUGUAAAUUUACAAGGUAGGAUUAGAAAUCUAAAAGAUAAUUUUGUUAAUCAUGAAGGUGAAAGCUUUCUUGUAAAUGUGCAUUGGUUUCCUCUGUACAAACUUAGGAAGGCGGUUUGGGAAAUGAUUCUAGUCAACCAGAGGUGGAUACGCUAGAGGAUUGAGAUACUUCCUCCGUUCUUUAUUACUUGACCUUUUGACUUUUACACUAUUCAUC